UGGGGAAUAUUGCACAAUGGGCGCAAGCCUGAUGCAGCCAUGCCGCGUGUAUGAAGAAGGCCUUCGGGUUGUAAAGUACUUUCAGCGGGGAGGAAGGCGAUAAGGUUAAUAACCUUGUCGAUUGACGUUACCCGCAGAAGAAGCACCGGCUAACUCCGUGCCAGCAGCCGCGGUAAUACGGAGGGCGCAAGCGUUAAUCGGAAUUACUGGGCGUAAAGCGCACGCAGGCGGUCUGUCAAGUCGGAUGUGAAAUCCCCGGGCUCAACCUGGGAACUGCAUUCGAAACUGGCAGGCUAGAGUCUUGUAGAGGGGGGUAGAAUUCCAGGUG
rnacentral:rRNA from 1 species